UUCUGUUUUGUGAUUGGCGCGGCUUGAUCAAAGAAUCGCCCCGUUGAACCAGAGCCUUCGCGACACUUCAAUUUAUUAUUUACUGUCGAAGGCUCUGGAAUCCAGGGUAGUAUCCCCCCUGAGAAUGCAGUAUCCCACUUCUGGAUACUGGUUACCAGUACCAUAAGUAUUAUACCCCGUCCCAUCCAAAUAAGUUUCCAUAACUCUCACUGUUACAAAUUACAGUAACAACAGAAGACCCAACAGUCAACAACUAAACAAUUCAUCAAUAUCCCAUUGAGCCACAAUGCGCCCCAGUGCGCCCUACUUUUUUUUACUUGUCUAAUGCCAGACGAUUUUACUCAACAAUGGGGUUGCUCUGCAGCUUAAAGGGAUACGGCAAUAUAUUUUUUUAUUAUUUCAUUUUAAAGAACUUUUAAAAUUAUAUGUUAAUCUCCUUUACCGAUUUUGCGUAACUUUAUUAUUUCUUGAAAUAUUUUGACUUAAAAUAAUUUGCUGUCCACCACCUUGGAUUAAUUUUUAUGCAGUUAAACAAAGAGCGCAGUGAGUGUGUUAGUUAGUAUGGUCAUGGCGAUAGUAUGUCAGCGGCUGUUAGUGUUUGAGCAUGCGCAAACAACAGGCACGCAUUGUUCGGAAAUCCUUCUAGACUUGGGUGCUUAUUAUCGGAAAGUUCGGGAAUUUUUUUUAUCAUUUUUUAUUUAUUUUUUUUCCCACUGACCCAGUCAGUGUGACAGGUGCUUGGGCCUGGUGUGGGGGCUCAUGGCUGGGUUGCAGGGAACUGCAAGCCAUGAGAGUGGUACAGUAUGUUUGUCUGGGGGCUGGUUUUGGAAGUGGAAGCCCUUGGAUGACCCAGGCACCCAUUAUCCACAAGCGAUACAGUUGUUAAAUCUCAUUAUCGGUGAUUUUAGUGAUGUCAUAAGCAGGGCUGGCCAUAUAAAACUACAUAAACUACCAAAUAACAUUAAGUCUUGUUUUAAAAGUCGUCAGACAGUUUUUUAUAUCAAAUAGUUACUGAAGUAUAUGAUUUUGGGCUCAUUAUAACCAAUUGCUCUAUGGAUAAAAUUCUUGCGUGAUCCUGCUUAUGAUGUCACAUGCAUAUCCACCAAAAUCCAAGAUGGC